CCUACGGGAGGCAGCAGUGGGGAAUAUUGGACAAUGGGCGAAAGCCUGAUCCAGCCAUGCCGCGUGUGUGAAGAAGGCCUUCGGGUUGUAAAGCACUUUCAGUGGGGAAGAAAGCCUUGGGGCUAAUACCCUCGAGGAAGGACAUCACCCACAGAAGAAGCACCGGCUAACUCCGUGCCAGCAGCCGCGGUAAUACGGAGGGUGCGAGCGUUAAUCGGAAUUACUGGGCGUAAAGCGCGCGUAGGCGGUCUGAUAAGCCGGUUGUGAAAGCCCCGGGCUCAACCUGGGAACGGCAUCCGGAGCUGUCAAGGGAGGGGGCGGGGAGGGAGGGUAGAAUUCCCAGGGUAAGGGGUAAAAGGGGUGGGGCCGGGGGGAAAAACAGGUGCGAAGGCGGCCUUCUGGACUGACGCUGGCGCUGAGGGGCGAAAGCGUGGGUAGCAAACAGGAUUAGGUACCCGUGUAGUC
rnacentral:rRNA from 1 species